rnacentral:misc_RNA from 1 species
CUGCCUCUCAAGCGCGGCUUGUGUGUUGGGUGUUAUCCACCUCUUUUUGUGGGGGAUAUAUCCAAAAGGCAGCGGCGGUGUCGCGUCCGGUCCUCGAGCGUAUGGGGCUUUGUCACUCGCUCUGGAGGCUUGGCCGGUGCCUGCCACUUCACCAAUUUUUCUA